UACGAAGGGGGCUAGCGUUGUUCGGAAUUAUUGGGCGUAAAGGGUGCGUAGGCGGUUUGAUAAGUCUGAUGUGAAAUCUAUGGGCUCAACCCAUAGUCUGCAUUAGAAACUGUCGGGCUUGAGUAUGGGAGAGGUGAGUGGAAUUUCCGGUGUAGCGGUGAAAUGCGUAGAUAUCGGAAGGAACACCUGUGGCGAAAGCGGCUCACUGGACCAUAACUGACGCUGAUGCACGAAAGCUAGGGGAGCAAACAGG
rnacentral:rRNA from 1 species